GGAGUGGCAUGGGCUCUGAGUAGGGCUCUGAUGACUUCAAAGAGAGGUGAGGGAUGUGAAAGGAGGGGCCAGAGAGACAGAGGUGGAUGGAUGCUUCACAGAGCAACCCAAACCAUCAUCCACUGAAGUUCAGUAAUAAAUCAUUUCUUCUCUACUUCAGUGACUACCCUUGCGGUGCAAGACUGAGUCAGGAGAUGGCAUUGGCAUUGAUUCUUCAAGUCUCUGGACCUCUACUGGAGGGAUGAACACCAUUCUUCCAAAAGAUAU